rnacentral:rRNA from 1 species
UUAUCGGAGAGUUUGAUCCUGGCUCAGGACGAACGCUGGCGGCGUGCCUAAUACAUGCAAGUCGAGCGGACAGAUGGGAGCUUGCUCCCUGAUGUUAGCGGCGGACGGGUGAGUAACACGUGGGUAACCUGCCUGUAAGACUGGGAUAACUCCGGGAAACCGGGGCUAAUACCGGAUGCUUGUUUGAACCGCAUGGUUCAAACAUAAAAGGUGGCUUCGGCUACCACUUGCAGAUGGACCCGCGGCGCAUUAGCUAGUUGGUGAGGUAAUGGCUCACCAAGGCAACGAUGCGUAGCCGACCUGAGAGGGUGAUCGGCCACACUGGGACUGAGACACGGCCCAGACUCCUACGGGAGGCAGCAGUAGGGAAUCUUCCGCAAUGGACGAAAGUCUGACGGAGCAACGCCGCGUGAGUGAUGAAGGUUUUCGGAUCGUAAAGCUCUGUUGUUAGGGAAGAACAAGUACCGUUCGAAUAGGGCGGUACCUUGACGGUACCUAACCAGAAAGCCACGGCUAACUACGUGCCAGCAGCCGCGGUAAUACGUAGGUGGCAAGCGUUGUCCGGAAUUAUUGGGCGUAAAGGGCUCGCAGGCGGUU